rnacentral:rRNA from 1 species
UACGGAGGGGGCUAGCGUUGUUCGGAAUUACUGGGCGUAAAGCGCACGUAGGCGGCGCGACAAGUCAGAGGUGAAAGGCCUGGGCUCAACCUGGGAACUGCCUUUGAUACUGGCGUGCUUGAGUCCGGAAGAGGGUGGCGGAAUUCCCAGUGUAGAGGUGAAAUUCGUAGAUAUUGGGAAGAACACCGGUGGCGAAGGCGGUCACCUGGUCCGGUACUGACGCUGAGGCGCGACAGCGUGGGGAGC